rnacentral:rRNA from 1 species
AUACGUAGGUGACAAGCGUUAUCCGGAUUUGCUGGGCGUAAAGGGCGUGUAGGCGGUCUUGCAAGUCAGAAGUGAAAUUCCUGAGCUCAACUCGGGCGCUGCUUCUGAAACUGCAGGACUUGAGUGCUGGAGGGGAUAGCGGAAUUCCUAGUGGAGCGGUAAAAUGCGCAGAUAUUAGGAAGAACACCGGUGGCGAAGGCGGCUAUCUGGACAGUAACUGACGCUGAGGCGCGAAAGCGUGGGGAGCAAACAGGAUUAGAUACCCUGGUAGUCCACGCGGUAAACGAUGAAUGCUAGGUGUUGCGGGUAUCGACCCCUGCAGUGCCGGAGUCAACACAAUAAGCAUUCCGCCUGGGGAGUACGGCCGCAAGGUUGAAACUCAAAUGAAUUGGCGGGG